UACAGAGGUCCCAAGCGUUGUUCGGAUUCACUGGGCGUAAAGGGUGCGUAGGUGGUAAGGCAAGUCGGAUGUGAAAUCUCCGGGCUUAACCCGGAAAUGGCAUUGGAAACUGCCUUGCUAGAGGAUUUGAGGGGGGACUGGAAUACUUGGUGUAGCAGUGAAAUGCGUAGAUAUCAAGUGGAACACCAGUGGCGAAGGCGAGUCCCUGGAAAAUACCUGACACUGAGGCACGAAAGCUAGGGGAGCAAACAGG
rnacentral:rRNA from 1 species